rnacentral:rRNA from 7 species
CUAAGCGUACACGGUGGAUGCCCUGGCAGUCAGAGGCGAUGAAGGACGUGCUAAUCUGCGAUAAGCGCCGGUAAGGUGAUAUGAACCGUUAUAACCGGCGAUUUCCGAAUGGGGAAACCCAGUGUGAUUCGUCACACUAUCAUUAACUGAAUCCAUAGGUUAAUGAGGCGAACCGGGGGAACUGAAACAUCUAAGUACCCCGAGGAAAAGAAAUCAACCGAGAUUCCCCCA